GCCCCCGUGGUGAAAUGGAUAUCACGACGGCCUUCGAAGCCGUUAUUGUGGGUUCGAGUCCUGCCGGGGGCA
rnacentral:tRNA from 1 species